rnacentral:rRNA from 1 species
UACGGAGGGUGCAAACGUUGCUCGGAAUCAUUGGGCGUAAAGCGCACGUAGGUGGCUCGUUAAGUCGGAUGUGAAAGCCCUGGGCUCAACCCAGGAAGUGCAUUCGAAACUGGCGAGCUUGAAUAUGGAAGAGGGUCGCGGAAUUCCCGGUGUAGAGGUGAAAUUCGUAGAUAUCGGGAGGAACACCAGUGGCGAAGGCGGCGACCUGGGCCAAUAUUGACGCUGAGGUGCGAAAGCGUGGGGAGCAAACAGG